AUGUUGCUGGUGAAACCUGGGGACCGCAAGGCCUGGGGCAAAAAGAGGAUCCUGCGUCUGAUUAGCUAGUUGGCGGGGUAAUGGCCCACCAAGGCGACGAUCAGUAGCCGGCCUGAGAGGGUGAUCGGCCACACUGGAACUGAGACACGGUCCAGACUCCUACGGGAGGCAGCAGUGGGGAAUUUUGCGCAAUGGACGAAAGUCUGACGCAGCAACGCCGCGUGGGCGAUGAAGGUCUUCGGACUGUAAAACCCUGUCGUCAGGGACGAAGGUAUGGGGGUUAAUAACCCUUAUGCUUGACGGUACCUGGAGAGGAAGCCCCGGCUAACUCUGUGCCAGCAGCCGCGGUAAUACAGAGGGGGCAAGCGUUAUUCGGAAUUAUUGGGCGUAAAGGGCGCGUAGGCGGUUUUUUAAGUCAGAUGUGUAAUCCCCGAGCUCAACUUGGGAACUGCAUCUGAGACUGGAAGGCUAGAGUACUGGAGAGGGUGGUGGAAUUCCUCGUGUAGCGGUGAAAUGCGUAGAGAUGAGGAGGAACACCAGUGGCGAAGGCGGCCACCUGGACAGUAACUGACGCUGAGGCGCGAAAGUGUGGGUAGCAAACAGGAUUAGAUACCCUGGUAGUCCACGCUGUAAACGAUGAACACUUGGUGUGGAGGGAGUUGACCCCUUCCGUGCCGGAGCUAACGCGUUAAGUGUUCCGCCUGGGGAGUACGGUCGCAAGGCUGAAACUCAAAGGAAUUGACGGGGGCCCGCACAAGCGGUGGAGCAUGUGGUUUAAUUCGACGCAACGCGAAGAACCUUACCUGGGCUUGAACUGCAGUGGACCGGUGUAGAGAUAUGCCUUUUCGCAAGAACUGCUGCAGAGGUGCUGCAUGGCUGUCGUCAGCUCGUGUCG
rnacentral:rRNA from 1 species